rnacentral:rRNA from 1 species
CCUACGGGCGGCUGCAGUGGGGAAUAUUGGACAAUGGGGGGAACCCUGAUCCAGCCAUGCCGCGUGUGUGAAGAAGGCCCUCGGGUUGUAAAGCACUUUCAGUGAGGAAGAACGCCUGGUGGUUAAUACCCAUCAGGAAAGACAUCACUCACAGAAGAAGCACCGGCUAACUCCGUGCCAGCAGCCGCGGUAAUACGGAGGGUGCGAGCGUUAAUCGGAAUUACUGGGCGUAAAGCGCGCGUAGGUGGCUUGAUAAGCCGGUUGUGAAAGCCCCGGGCUCAACCUGGGAACGGCAUCCGGAACUGUCAAGCUAGAGUGCAGGAGAGGAAGGUAGAAUUCCCGGUGUAGCGGUGAAAUGCGUAGAGAUCUGGAGGAAUACCAGUGGCGAAGGCGGCCUUCUGGACUGACACUGACACUGAGGUGCGAAAGCGUGGGUAGCAAACAGGAUUAGAUACCCUUGUAGUC